rfam:Triticum aestivum genome assembly, contig: Triticum_aestivum_CS42_TGACv1_scaffold_222688_3B
AAAGUACUCCCUCCAUCCCAAAAUUCUUGUCUUAGAUUCAUCUAGACAGGGAAGUAUCUAACACUAAAGCGUGACUAGAUAGUAGAUACAUCCGUAUUUAGACAAAUUGAAGACAAGAAUUUUGGGACGGAGGGAGUAGUUG